CCUACGGGGUGCAACAGUGAGGAAUAUUGGUCAAUGGGCGCGAGCCUGAACCAGCCAAGUCGCGUGAGGGAAGACGGUCCUAUGGAUUGUAAACCUCUUUUGUCGGGGAGCAAAAGACGCCACGCGUGGCGUUCCGAGAGUACCCGAAGAAAAAGCAUCGGCUAACUCCGUGCCAGCAGCCGCGGUAAUCCGGAGGAUGAGAGUGUUAUCCGGAUUUUUUGGGUUUAAAGGGUGUUCAGGCGGAAGUUAAAGUCAGCGGUAAAAUUGAGAGGCUCAACCUCUUCGAGCCGUUGAAACUGGUUUACUUGAGUGAGCGAGAAGUAUGCGGAAUGCGUGGUGUAGCGGUGAAAUGCAUAGAUAUCACGCAGAACGCCGAUUGCGAAGGCAGCAUACCGGCGCUCAACUGACGCUCAUGCACGAAAGUGUGGGUAUCGAACAGGAGUAGAUACCCCGGUAGUC
rnacentral:rRNA from 1 species